UACGAAGGGGGCUAGCGUUGCUCGGAAUCACUGGGCGUAAAGCGCACGUAGGCGGCUUACUAAGUCAGGGGUGAAAUCCUGGAGCUCAACUCCAGAACUGCCUUUGAUACUGAGGAGCUUGAGUCCGGGAGAGGUGAGUGGAACUGCGAGUGUAGAGGUGAAAUUCGUAGAUAUUCGCAAGAACACCAGUGGCAAAGGCGGCUCACUGGCCCGGUACUGACGCUGAUGUGCGAAAGCGUGGGGAGCAAACAGG
rnacentral:rRNA from 1 species